GAUGAACGCUGGCGGCGUGCCUAAUACAUGCAAGUCGAGCGAACAGACGAGGAGCUUGCUCCUCUGACGUUAGCGGCGGACGGGUGAGUAACACGUGGAUAACCUACCUAUAAGACUGGGAUAACUUCGGGAAACCGGAGCUAAUACCGGAUAAUAUAUUGAACCGCAUGGUUCAAUAGUGAAAGACGGUUUUGCUGUCACUUAUAGAUGGAUCCGCGCUGCAUUAGCUAGUUGGUAAGGUAACGGCUUACCAAGGCAACGAUGCGUAGCCGACCUGAGAGGGUGAUCGGCCACACUGGAACUGAGACACGGUCCAGAAUCCUACGGGAGGCAGCAGUAGGGAAUCUUCCGCAAUGGGCGAAAGCGUGACGGAGCAACGCCGCGUGAGUGAUGAAGGUCUUCGGAUCGUAAAACUCUGUUAUUAGGGAAGAACAAAUGUGUAAGUAACUAUGCACGUCUUGACGGUACCGAAGCAGAAAGCCACGGCUAACUACGU
rnacentral:rRNA from 1 species